AAAGAAAAAGCCCUAAUCCUUCGCACGCAGCUCGUCGCCCUUCUCAGCUCCCGUCGAAAACUGCCACGCCUCCUAGAACCGGAGCUUCGACAAUAAUAACAUAGCCAGCCGAAAAGGAUGUGAGUGCUCUCUUCUCUUGCUCUUAUUUGAGGAAUCGUUGAGAACCGUUCUGUGCCGAUCGCCCGUCAUGUUCUCGCGUCUGGUGGCCAAGCGCCUCUUGGAGAUUUGCCGGGUGCUGCGUCCGUCGUUGCCGCUUUCUUCACCCUCUUCUACUGUCGCAAGAUCCUUCUCCACAGCCUUGAACUAUCACAUUGAUUUGCUGGAUAACAAGCCGAACAAACCAUGGGAAUUUACUGUUGUGAAUAUGAAGAGGGUAUGACAAUUGAAUCCAAUUGUUGUUUGCGUCUAGUGAAAUGCUGUGAAUGAUGCCGAAUAUGAUACGAGUGUGAUUAAGAUGUUAUUCUGAUUAUUUUCAAUUUUCUCUUGUUCAGUGUCGUUUUGGAUAUUUUUGUUGUAAUUUGGAUUUGUUGGUUAAUCUCUUUUUCCUUCUUUUAAUUUCCUAGAAUUUCUCUAAAUUGUUAAUCAUUUAGUCUUCCGGUGCAGGAUGAAAUAAAAAUAUCAUUGUUUUUAUAGGUGAACUUCCUCUUUAGCUAGCAUUCAUCUUAUUACUUCUCAAACUUCAGAUUCUAUCAGGAAAUGCUAAUCUUAUAGAUAUUUGAUCUUCUCUUUAUGCAUAGUUCACUUGAUUAAUGAUAGUCGCUUUUGUAUAUUGAUCUUCAUACUUGGACCUGUUGAGUUCUUGUCGGCUUUGGAAGUGUUUCCAUAGUUAACUUUGUAUGCUAUAGAUUGAGUUCAAUAUUUUACAUCCUCAUUUUUUACAUGGGAAUGAAUGACAAUCCAUUGAAUCAAACACUCUUACUAUCUUAUGAUUAUACAGAAACUAUGGAAUUUUUAGGAUGCUAAACAUGAAAACUCCAUAGUUCACACGUCUCAAAUUUCCUAACUCUUCAAUGAUGGUUACAAAGAUGUUAUUUUUAUCUUACUAUUGAGCUCUAUGUGGUGCUAAAAUAUUUUCAGGGUAACACCUUACCAUGCAGUAAGUACAAUUAAGAUUCAUUUGAAAGUGUUUUAUAAUCAUGAAAACUAAUCCUAUGAGAAGAAAAGACAACAAAAACAUUGUUAGUAUUUGUAGG